GACGAACGCUGGCGGCGUGCUUAACACAUGCAAGUCGAACGGAAGGGCCCUGCUUUUGUGGGGUGCUCGAGUGGCGAACGGGUGAGUAACACGUGAGUAACCUGCCCUUGACUUUGGGAUAACUUCAGGAAACUGGGGCUAAUACCGGAUAGGAGCUCCUGCUGCAUGGUGGGGGUUGGAAAGUUUCGGCGGUUGGGGAUGGACUCGCGGCUUAUCAGCUUGUUGGCGGGGUAGUGGCUUACCAAGGCUUUGACGGGUAGCCGGCCUGAGAGGGUGACCGGCCACAUUGGGACUGAGAUACGGCCCAGACUCCUACGGGAGGCAGCAGUGGGGAAUAUUGCACAAUGGGCGGAAGCCUGAUGCAGCAACGCCGCGUGCGGGAUGACGGCCUUCGGGUUGUAAACCGCUUUCGCCUGUGACGAAGCGUGAGUGACGGUAAUGGGUAAAGAAGCACCGGCUAACUACGUG
rnacentral:rRNA from 1 species